GCAAGUCGAGCGCGCCCUUCGGGGUGAGCGGCGGACGGGUGAGUAACGCGUGGGAACGUGCCCUUUGCUGCGGAAUAGCCACUGGAAACGGUGAGCAAUACCGCAUGAGCCCUUCGGGGGAAAGAUUUAUCGGCAAGGGAUCGGCCCGCGUUGGAUUAGGUAGUUGGUGGGGUAAUGGCCUACCAAGCCGACGAUCCAUAGCUGGUUUCAGAGGAUGAUCAGCCACACUGGGACUGAGACACGGCUCAGACUCCUACGGGAGGCAGCAGUGGGGAAUCUUAGACAAUGGGCGCAAGCCUGAUCUAGCCAUGCCGCGUGAGUGACGAAGGCCCUAGGGUCGUAAAGCUCUUUCGCCUGUGAAGAUAAUGACGGUAGCCGGUAAAGAAACCCCGGCUAACUCCGUGCCAGCAGCCGCGGUAAUACGGAGGGGGUUAGCGUUGUUCGGAAUUACUGGGCGUAAAGCGCGCGUAGGCGGACCAUCAAGUUGGGGGUGAAAUCCCGGGGCUCAACCCCGGAACUGCCUCCAAAACUGGCGGUCUGGAGUUCGAGAGAGGUGAGUGGAAUUCCGAGUGUAGAGGUGAAAUUCGUAGAUAUUCGGAGGAACACCAGUGGCGAAGGCGGCUCACUGGCUCGAUACUGACGCUGAGGUGCGAAAGUGUGGGGAGCAAACAGGAUUAGAUACCCUGGUAGUCCACACCGUAAACGAUGAAUGCCAGUCGUCGGCAAGCAUGCUUGUCGGUGACACACCUAACGGAUUAAGCAUUCCGCCUGGGGAGUACGGCCGCAAGGUUACAACUCAAAUGAAUUGACGGAA
rnacentral:rRNA from 1 species